UACGUAGGGGGCAAGCGUUAUUCGGAAUUAUUGGGCGUAAAGGGCGCGUAGGCGGCCGGACAAGUGGAAGGUGAAAUCCCCGAGCUCAACUCGGGAACUGCCCUCCAAACUGUUUGGCUUGAGUCCGGGAGAGGUGAGUGGAAUUCCCAGUGUAGCGGUGAAAUGCGUUAAUAUCGGCAAGAACACCAAAUGCGAAGGCAGCUUACUGGAACGCGCCUGACACUCAGGGACGAAAGCGUGGGUAGCGAAAGGG
rnacentral:rRNA from 1 species